rnacentral:rRNA from 1 species
UACGUAGGGUGCGAGCGUUAAUCGGAAUUACUGGGCGUAUAGCGUGCGCAGGCGGUUGUGCAAGACAGAUGUGAAAUCCCCGGGCUUAACCUGGGAACUGCAUUUGGGACUGCACAGCUGGAGUGCGGCAGAGGGGGAUGGAAUUCCGCGUGUAGCAGUGAAAUGCGUAGAUAUGCGGAGGAACACCGAUGGCGAAGGCAAUCCCCUGGGCCUGCACUGACGCUCAUGCACGAAAGCGUGGGGAGCAAACAGG